rnacentral:rRNA from 1 species
UACGAAGGGGGCUAGCGUUGCUCGGAAUUACUGGGCGUAAAGGGCGCGUAGGCGGCCGAUCAAGUCAGGCGUGAAAUUCCCGGGCUCAACCUGGGGGCUGCGCUUGAGACUGGUUGGCUAGAGGCCGAGAGAGGGUGGUGGAAUUCCCAGUGUAGAGGUGAAAUUCGUAGAUAUUGGGAAGAACACCGGUGGCGAAGGCGGCCACCUGGCUCGGCACUGACGCUGAGGCGCGACAGCGUGGGGAGCAAACAGG